GUCCACGCCCUAAACGAUGCCGACUAGUUGUUGGGGGAGUUAAAUCCCUUAGUAACGCAGCUAACGCGUGAAGUCGGCCGCCUGGGGGAGUACGGUCGCAAGAUUAAAAACUCAAAGGAAUUGACGGGGGCCCGCACAAGCGGUGGAUGAUGUGGUUUAAUUCGACGCAACGCGAAAAACCUUACCUACCCUUGACAUGUGCGGAAUCCUGCAGAGAUGCAGGAGUGCCCGAAAGGGACCGCAACACAGGUGCUGCAUGGCUGUCGU
rnacentral:rRNA from 1 species